UACGGGGGGGGCAAGCGUUGUUCGGAAUUACUGGGCGUAAAGGGUUUGUAGGUGGCUUGUUAAGUCAGACGUGAAAUCCCUCAGCUUAACUGGGGAACUGCGUCUGAUACUGGCGAGCUUGAGUGCAGGAGAGGAACGCGGAAUUCCAGGUGUAGCGGUGAAAUGCGUAGAUAUCUGGAGGAACACCGGUGGCGAAGGCGGCGUUCUGAACUGCAACUGACACUGAGAAGCGAAAGCCAGGGUAGCAAACGGG
rnacentral:rRNA from 1 species